UUACAGCCACAUCCCGUUGAAAACACCGGUUUCGCUACGAUCACCUAAGUUAAGCAACGUCGAGUCUGGUCAGUACCUAGAUAGGUGACCUCUUGGGAAUACGAAACGCUGUAA